rnacentral:tRNA from 1 species
GGAGGGAUGACCGAGCGGCCGAAGGUGCUCGCCUGCUAAGCGAGUAGGGCUCACGCCCUCGAGGGUUCAAAUCCCUCUCCCUCCGCCA